CAGUAAAUCAAUCAAUUUGCAACAGCAGCAUCAACAGCAGGAAAUUGAGUUAUCAGCCAGAGAAAGAGUCAGGCAAGAUAGACAGAGAGACAGAACGACAGACAGACAGCGAGUAAAAUGCAAUACAAACAAACACCUUAAAUAUUUAUAAAUAACAACAAAUUGUCGAAAUAUUCCAACAAAUGGCCCCAACAACAAUAACUGCAAAUAACUAAUUGAAUUUCAAUUGCAAUAAAUGUGACAACAACUAAACAAAUCAAAAUAUGCAUAUCACUCAUACGCCUCGUGGGGCUCAGAAUCAAUUUAAAUUUUAAAUAAAAAAAGUUUACCCCCUAAAUAAGUCGAUUAAAAUAUACAAAACAUUCGAAAUCUGAAACGAUAUUGAGAUUGGAAGCUGAUUGUACACAGUGUUUCAGUUUCUACAAAUUUCCCCAACCAGAAGAUUAUUCAAAUUGUUAAUUGAUGCAUUAUUGCCUGAAUGACUGCCAACAUGCGCUCUGCCAUCACACCAUAUUAUGCAUGCGAGCCACAUAUCGAAUCCGUAAAAAUCCUUGUGCAAAUUUGUUUUUAAUUAUCCUCUUACUGCUGAUGCAUUAACUCACCUGCAAAGAGAAAAAAGAAGAGAGAAGAGAGAUAAUAUUAGAACAUUUUUUCUGAUGCAUAAGUUGGGAUUAAAUCAAACUGUGAGGAUGGAAUAUAUGGUAUUGUGGGUCAAGUGUUUUAUACAAACAAAAUUAAGUUCUACAAUUUUUAUCACUAUGUAUUCGUCGUCCUCACAGUAUAUUAAGUUAUUUCAUUAUUAAAUGUCGCAUCUGUGAAGAUUGUGCAAAAGAA